GACGAACGCUGGCGGCGUGCUUAACACAUGCAAGUCGAACGGAAAGGCCCUGCUUUUGUGGGGUGCUCGAGUGGCGAACGGGUGAGCAACACGUGAGUAACCUGCCCUUGACUUUGGGAUAACUUCAGGAAACUGGGGCUAAUACCGGAUAGGAGCUCCUGCUGCAUGGUGGGGGUUGGAAAGUUUCGGCGGUUGGGGAUGGACUCGCGGCUUAUCAGCUUGUUGGUGGGGUAGUGGCUUACCAAGGCUUUGACGGGUAGCCGGCCUGAGAGGGUGACCGGCCACAUUGGGACUGAGAUACGGCCCAGACUCCUACGGGAGGCAGCAGUGGGGAAUAUUGCACAAUGGGCGGAAGCCUGAUGCAGCAACGCCGCGUGCGGGAUGACGGCCUUCGGGUUGUAAACCGCUUUCGCCUGUGACGAAGCGUGAGUGGCGGUAAUGGGUAAAGAAGCACCGGCUAACUACGUG
rnacentral:rRNA from 1 species